rnacentral:misc_RNA from 1 species
GGAAAAGGAAAUUAGAUAGAGAGAAACUGGAGGAUACUUAUCCAAGCAUUGAAGAGGCGAUCCAAGGCUCCUCCACUGCUCCACGGAAGUUCAAACUGAAAGAGCUUGGGAAAGCAACAGGCAACUUCAGCCCCAAGAACAAACUCGGGAAAGGCGGCUUUGGAACUGUCUACAAAGGGGUCAUGGGAAACAAGGAGGUCGCUGUCAAGAAAGUUUCCAAGACAUCAACUCAAGGAAAGACAGAAUUCAUAGCAGAAGUCACCACAAUCGGCAAGCUCCAUCACAGAAAUCUCGUCAAGUUAAUCGGAUGGUGUUACGAAAAGCGUGAAU